CUUCUUUCUCGCCUUAGAUAUAGCUGUGCCACAUAAAUUUCAUAAAAAUAAGCUCUUGGUUAGCCGGGUGUGGUGGCGCGUGCCUGUAAUCCCAGCUCCUUGGGAGGCUGAGGCAGGAGAAUUGCUUGAACCUGGGAGGCAGAGGUUGCAGUGAGCCGAGAUCACACCACUGCACUCCAGCCUGGACGACAGAGUGAGACUCCGUCUCAAAAAACAAACAAACUAACUAACUAACAAAAAAGCUCUCAGGAAAAUGGCCUGAACACAGAUCCCUCCUUUGGAUGGAGAUGCCAAAUUUGGAUCUCCAGGGCACCUCUAAUUUCUGAGGGUGGAGGCAGAGAGGCACACUAUUGGGGUCCCCGGAUAAUUUUGUGGACAUGAAGGCUGAUGUCCACUGGAGACGUCUAGUUGGCUCCUCGCUUACUAAAUUCAGCAGCUGAUGGCCCCUACUCGUUGCUGGACAGCAUAAACAUCAGGUUCUGGUAAAUAAACUCAGGCUAUCAUGCAACUGCCCAACAUGCACUUAAGCUGUGACUGACAGUUUGCUGGGGGCGGACUUAGAGUCUAGGGCCAAAGCUUUUGGGUGCAGAGACUCCAAGGUUCCAAGAUAAACAAAUCUGUCGGUGAGAGUGACCAGAGUGUUAGGUCAGUCCAAGGGUCACUUAUAGGUCAUCCUGCUGGGAGCUUGGUCUCUGCUUUGUGUUUAUGCUGGGGAGAAAAGCAGGAGGGGCCAGAGGGUUGGGUCUCCGCUGGGAAAACAUCCCUGGCCUACUCAUCAGAGCCUCUGGAAGUGGAUUGGUAUCCCCUCUGCUCCCAGGAAUCCAGUAAAAGUAGCAUCUCUUCCUCAAAGAUGAGCCAGCCGUCAUUUGAAGAGGAGGAAAGACUGGAUUGGGGAAGAAUCUGGGGCAAAAUGAAGCCAAAUUGA
rnacentral:lncRNA from 1 species